ACCGGAGUCGAACCUGGGACCCUUCAGUCUGCAGGCCGACACUCUAUCCACUGAGCCAAAUCAGUUAAGGCCUGAGUGCAUUUUUUAUUAUAGGUUGGAGGUUGGUCUGUCCUAUCCCAGAACGGGGCCUUGUAGACAUUGCAGGAAAAAUUCAAGGGGUGGAUCAAGGUCAGGGAAGUCAUUCCCUUUCUCUCCCCCCCCCCCCCCCCCUUUAGAAAUUUAGCAGAGAAGGGUCAAGGACAAAAUGCAUCUGGGAAGGCUUCCUUUGAUCUGCCAUGUGCUCAGUGCAGCGUGUGUCCUACCUAGUGGCCUAGCAGGACACUUACCUGCUCUACUUUGACUGGGCUCCGUGUGUAGGGGGCCCUGCCUGGUCCCUCCUUCACAGCUGGCAGUAGUGACAAGGUUUCCUAAGGAUCAGGAGGAGCAGAAGGCCAUUGGAGGGGACUAAAGGAGAAGCCAUUUGUGACAACACCUGGGUUUGUGUGGUUGGGGCUGGGGCCACAAGGGCUCAAGAGUGAAAAAAAAUCCGUAUUUUGUAGAACUCAGUAUUUCAAUGGUUAAAGCUUCCAAUUUGUGAAGUUAAUCUUCCUAUUAAGUCAUGAGAAUUAUUGCAAACUGGGGUGAUGGUGAGGGCCUUGUAACAUCUGACAGCAGGCCAGAUAAUUUUACACAGUGUUAAGGAAAUGUAAACCACCACCCUCCAUAAAGAAACUAAUAGGCUUUAUGGGAGCUUAUUCUCUGACAGUCACUACUCAAGAUUGAAGUAAGCCAUCCGCUUCAGUACCACCACACAAACCUGGAAAGUAGGCAGACUGAUGAGCAGUGUUGAAAUUCAAACACUGUCUACUGGACAGCUCAGAGCUGGGCCACCCUCUCCAUAUGGACCCCAGGCUGGGACUAGUCAGCGCCAAUCCUGGCUAGGCAAGGCCAAGUUUGGGCAUCUCCUUUCAGGUGUGCAGCCUCUGGGCGUCUUAGGAAUGUUCACCUUGCCCCCUUCCUGAGACGUCCUCUCCCCAGCCUGGGUGAGAAAGCAGGUCUCUGCCCAGGGACAGGCGCCGGAGGGAUGGUGGUGGGUGUUAGGCAUUUGCACUGGCAAUAAGGGUGGAGUUUUCCAGUGAUGUCACUCACAGUAGAAAGAUUAUGGGUAUUGAUGUAUACCAAGUGAGUCUCUCAAUCCACAGGGGGCGGGUGGCUUAAUGCCUGGAAGAGGGUCAGGGCAGUAGUAUAGGGGUAGGGUGAGGGGAAGGUUGGGGUAGAAAGGACCAAGGAGAGAGUGGUUUUUAAGUGAGCAGAGGCCAGAGACAGUGAGACCACAGAGAGGCUGUGCUCUUGACCCCCAGAAGCCCAUGGCUGUUUGAGGCAAUUGGAGGGCUGGGAACAAGUGGCGUGGAAGAAUGCUCCGGGAGCGGCAGCUGGAGGGGAGGCGGAGCUCACCCCACAGAUCCAUCUCACCCACCCCUAGUUCAUAACACUGGAGGGUCAUGGACAUGGCCCGGUACCUGCUUCGUAGCAGUACGUCUCCAGGGUCUAGGGUGGCCUGGCGUCACUGCCCUUCAGCUCCCAGCCAGGUAGGGCCAUGUGAUGACUGAAGUCUGGGCACUUUGUGCACCUCAGCUGCAAUGCCUUUAAACCUCAGUGGCCCCCUGAGGUAGGAAACCAAAACAGUCUGGAGGAGCUGUCCCUCCAGAGCUGUGGCAUGAAGCCAGUGAGUACCCUUUGGAGCCUGUUUCCUUUCUGCAGAGGACGACAGCACUUGACACAUUUGCAUGGAGUCCU